ACUGACUGAGAAUUAAAGAGAUUACAGGAGUAAAAGUAAAUGAGAUAACUCUAAGAUAACUAAUAAGAUAAAUAUUUAGAUACGACGUAAAUAUAACUCACAGACAUGGAGAAGCAAAAGAAAAUUGAGAAAAGGCCGUACCAAGAUAAACUCGAUAAAGAUGCCAGGGACCAUUAUUUAGAGAAAUUGUUAUCCAUUCAGAACAUAGAUCCAUAUGAGCUGACUGCAGUAAGUUAGAGUGCUGACCCCGCAUUGCUACCUUCAUCCUCAUACUUAGACAUUGUUAAUUAUCUUGUUUAUGGUAUAAGCGCAUAUACCAGUGAACAAUUUAAAAACUAUAAAUCUCUGGAAGCCCACGGACAUUUCACCAAUGGCUGGGUACAGGAUUUAUUUACAUUCCGUCCAAAGGACUGCGACAACACAGUAGUAACAGCAAAGAACACACCAGCAAUUAUACCUUACAAAUGGCGGCUGCGCCCAUAAUGCACUUCGUGUUCCACGAGUGUGACGUCACCUGACAAAGACCGAUUGAUAAAGACGGCGCGAAGGAUGUGCAGCGUGGCAUCUAGAAAUACCAGUCAGGCUUCCCCAUCUGUGGGAACUUACUUUGUUCGCUAGCUGCAGGCUGGUCCUGACAAACAAUUUGCCCGCUAUUGACAUCACCAUCUUCAUCACUAUCAGCCUCAUCCUCUGGUACAUAGGUAGCAUCUCUCUCAUCAUCAUCCUCAUCCUCACUGUCAUCAGCCCUUGUCACCCUGCCCUCAUCCUGUUUGUUCCAUUGUGUUACAGAUUCUUGAAGACAGAAGCUAUUAUCUAAUAAUCUAUUAUUAUUAUCAUCUAACUCCUCAGUGUAACUGCCUGUCUGAAAGUCUGCAUCCAGUGAGGCAAACAACUGAUCCAGACGUCUGCUUCUGCUCUAGGAAUUUUUGAAGUAGUUUCCUCAUAAUGUGCUGCAAUAAAUCAUGAAUGAGAUUUUAUUAUAAUUAGUAGCCUUAUCAAGUAACCUAUUUACUUUAAUUUAUUGAAUAUUUUAAUAUGACAUACAU